rnacentral:rRNA from 1 species
UACGUAGGGUGCGAGCGUUGCCCGGAUUUAUUGGGCGUAAAGGGCGCGCAGGCGGCCACGCACGUCCGUUGUGAAAUCGCCCGGCUCAACUGGGCGGGGUCAGCGGAUACGGCGUGGCUGGAGCAAGCUAGGGGGCAAUGGAAUUCCCGGUGUAGUGGUGGAAUGCGUAGAUAUCGGGAGGAACACCAGUGGCGAAGGCGGUUGCCUGGAGCUUUGCUGACGCUGAGGCGCGAAAGUGUGGGGAGCGAACAGG